CCAACCAGAAAGUUGAAAAAAAAUACUCCUAUGAAGUUGUCGAUUUGACAAAAGAUGUGGGAGAUGAGGAAGGAAGCAUUGAUUGUAGUAGCAUUAAAGAAGGAGUCCAAAGCUCGGAUGAUGUAGAAGUUCAAGUUAUUGCUACUCCCAAGCUUUAUAAAACUGGCUGUCGCAGAAAUAAUUCUUUCGGACUUUCGUCAUGUAACAAGGAACAUUGUAAAAUUUGCCCUGUUUGCUUAGAUGUUAUGGUUCAAAUGACUAGCACCAAAUGUGGCCAUGUUUUUUGCAAGAACUGCAUUGUUGCUGCAAUCCGUGCAAAGCAGAUUUGUCCUGUUUGCAGGAAAAAAGUUAGCUUGCGGAGCAUUCAUCCAAUAUUUUUAUAACAGAACUUCUUGUGUCUUCUUACUUCUGUUCUUGUAUUUUGGUUAACUACAGUU